GGGCCCGCACAAGCGGUGGAGCAUGUGGUUUAAUUCGAUGAUACGCGAGGAACCUUACCAGGGUUUAAAUGCAGAACGACAGGGGUGGAAACACCCCCUUCUUCGGACGGACUGCAAGGUGCUGCAUGGUUGUCGUCAGCUCGUGCUGUGAAGUGUCGGGUUAAGUCCCAUAACGAGCGCAACCCCCAUUUCUAGUUGCCAGCGGUUCGGCCGGGGACUCUAACAAGACUGCCGGUGCAAACCGUGAGGAAGGUGGGGAUGACGUCAAAUCAUCACGGCCCUUACGUCCUGGGCUACACACGUGCUACAAUGGCCGGUACAGAGAGCAGCCACUACGCGAGUAGGCGCG
rnacentral:rRNA from 1 species